rnacentral:rRNA from 1 species
CCCUUAGAUGUCCUGGGCCGCACGCGCGCUACACUGAUGCAUUCAACGAGUAUUUCCUUGGCCGAGAGGCCUGGGCAAUCUUUUAAACCUGCAUCGUGAUAGGGAUAGAUUAUUGCAAUUAUUAAUCUUGAACGAGGAAUUCCUAGUAAACGCAAAUCAUCAAUUUGCAUUGAUUACGUCCCUGCCCUUUGUACACACCGCCCGUCGCACCUACCGAUUGAAUGGUCCGGCGAAAUCUCGGGAUUGUGGCCAGUUCACUUUAUUGGGAGUUGGCUGCGAGAACUUGCUUAAACCUUAUCAUUUAGAGGAAGGUGAAGUCGUAACA